rnacentral:rRNA from 1 species
AGUGUGAUUCGUCACACUAUCAUUAACUGAAUCCAUAGGUUAAUGAGGCGAACCGGGGGAACUGAAACAUCUAAGUACCCCGAGGAAAAGAAAUCAACCGAGAUUCCCCCAGUAGCGGCGAGCGAACGGGGAGGAGCCCAGAGCCUGAAUCAGCAUGUGUGUUAGUGGAAGCGUCUGGAAAGGCGCGCGAUACAGGGUGACAGCCCCGUACACAAAAGCGCAUGUGCUGUGAGCUCGAUGAGUAGGGCGGGACACGUGGUAUCCUGUCUGAAUAUGGGGGGACCAUCCUCCAAGGCUAAAUACUCCUGACUGACCGAUAGUGAACCAGUACCGUGAGGGAAAGGCGAAAAGAACCCCGGCGAGGGGAGUGAAAAAGAACCUGAAACCGUGUACGU